AUGUCUUCCGCAAGCUCCCGCGCCACCUCGCGGAUGCAGAGCCGGGCGCGUGUGGAGAUGCCUGUCUUCGUCUGUCCGCGGUGCCGGGCGAGCGUUGAUCGGAGGGUUUCACAACCGAGGAACCACAAUCGUCCGUUCUACGUGUGCAGCGAGAAUGGGGUGACAUGCUUCUUUCUUUGGGUCGAUGCUUUGGCCAAGACUCUGAUAAAUGAACUGCAAGAAGAGCAUGACGAAUGGUUGCGCAUGCUGCCCCAAACCGCAGUGGCCGCAGCACGAGCUCCGGAAGAAGAGAUGGAGGGCGAAGCACGCACUGACAGAGAGCUAGCUGUUGAGCUUAGGAUGUUGAAGAAGAAGGUUAGGAAGCUUGAAGAUCAAGCACUACCAAUACCCAUUUGAAAAUACUUUUGGGCAUUUGUAGGUAUGGUAAUCGCACUGGUUGUAAUGUCAAAAAUGUAUGGAAAGGCAUGA
rnacentral:rRNA from 1 species